UCCCUCCCAGCUGCCCUACCUUCCAGAGCCCAUAUCAAUGCCUGGGUCAGAGCCCUGGGGAGGAACUGCUCAGUUAGGACCCAGAGGGAACCAUGGAAGCCCCAGCACAGCUUCUCUUCCUCCUGCUACUCUGGCUCCCAGAUACCACCGGAGAAAUUGUGAUGACGCAGUCUCCAGCCACCCUGUCUUUGUCUCCAGGAGAAAGAGCCACCCUCUCCUGCAGGGCCAGUCAGAGUGUUAGCAGCUACUUAGCCUGGUACCAGCAGAAACCUGGGCAGGCUCCCAGGCUCCUCAUCUAUGGUGCAUCCAGCAGGGCCACUGGCAUCCCAGACAGGUUCAGUGGCAGUGGGUCUGGAACAGAGUUCACUCUCACCAUCAGCAGCCUGGAGCCUGAAGAUGUUGGAGUUUAUUACUGUCAGCAGUAUAAUAACUGGAACCCACAGUGAUUCAACAUGAAACAAAAACCUCAACAAGACCUUCAGUGUUUACUGAUUAUACCAGCUGCUUCCUUUAUAGACAGCUAGUGGGGUGGCUGCACAGUUUUAGCAUCUCUGCUCUAUUUGGCUAUUUUGGAGUUCACGUUCUAAAGUCCAAAAUGACUUAUAUUAAUCCAUUACCUCAUUCCAUUUCAGCAUGGCUAUUAAUCGCAUUUUAGAAGACAUCUCUGUUUAUGGCAUCACCAAGAGUUUAAUAAAUCUUCUGUGCAAAAAUAAACAACAAACACACUUAAAAGCUGAAAUAUCAAAACUAUUUCAGCACUCUGAAAACUGACGAACCAUGAAGUAAUUAAGGAUGCACAUUCUUUGUUGAAAAAAAAGUACUAGUGCUUUGAGUAAGGACAGAAAAAGUCUGUAGUCUUUUACCUGUGACAGCAACCUUUUAUUCCCAGCUCAGUCAGCAUGAUUUACAGAAUUGGAGUUUUACCAAUGUGAGGAUAUCAAAUAAAACUGGCAGCUUGCUGCCAAAUGGGGUGGACUUGAGUAAAGCCAAGGAGUGGAAAAACAUUCUUCACUGUUUUUCCAGCUAAACGUGGAGAACUCCAUAGGAUAUGAACAGAAAAAGCCCAUAGCUUUGCUAGUCCAAGAUGAUGCCCUGUUUGGGGCAAGUAGUGCAUCUGCUGAUAGUAAAUAGCAGAUUCCUGGAUAAGAUAGACCCAUAUUGCUGAAACAAUCUCUACACACAUUCCUAGUGAUCUAGAAGCUAUAGAUAUGAGUGAUGAGAACCAGGAGUUUCCUGCGCAAAGUAAAAGCAGAGGGAGGUAGGAACUGGCUGCAUUUUGUAUGCAGUUUGCUUUUUAAACCACACACAGAUGGGUUGACAGAAGAUAGAUUUAUAACUCCAGAUAUUUGAGCAAAAUGUCUCAAAUCAUUGGUGACCACUUUGCUGUGCAGACACAUGUGCAGUCCCUAUAAAUUCAAACUAAAGAUUGAUAUUAAGAAUAAAAAGAAGCAGAGAUAUCUGUGGUCAAACACCAUGUGAGAUACAGAUUUUUCAAUAUCAUGCAUGAAAAUACAUUUAAUACAUCUAAUCCACUGAACAUUAUAGCUCAGCCUAUCCCACCCUAAAUGCACACAGAACACUUACAUUAGCUUACUGUUGGUCAAUGUUAUCUUACACAAAGCUUAUCUUACAAUAAACUGUUGAAUACCUCAUGUAAUGUAUUGAAUCUUUUACCGAAAGAGAAAAUACAAUAGUUGUAUGAAAACUCGAAGUUCUAUUUCUACUUGAAUGCAUAUCACAUUCACACCAUCUGAAAGUCAAAAAACCAUAACUCAAACUAUCUUAAGUCAGGUACUAUCAGUAAGUUCAGACAAGUAACUAAGAAGAAAAUUUAAAAAUGAUCAGAAAAAAAA